rnacentral:rRNA from 1 species
GACAGAGGGGGCAAGCGUUGCUCGGAAUCACUGGGCGUAAAGGGCGCGUAGGCGGGAUGGCAAGUCAGUCGUGAAAUCUCUCGGCUCAACCGAGAAACGUCGGCUGAUACUGCCGUUCUUGAGGGAUGCAGAGGAGACUGGAAUUCCCGGUGUAGCGGUGAAAUGUGUAGAGAUCGGGAGGAACACCGGUGGCGAAGGCGGGUCUCUGGGCAUUUCCUGACGCUGAGGAGCGAAAGCGUGGGUAGCGAACAGGAUUAGAAACCCACGUAGU